AAUGUAACUGUAGACAGACUCUCGAAUGAACUCAUGAAUUUGAAGGUCUCUUUACAUAGUUUGUAUCACCCUUUAUUUUGUUCAUUUCACAAAGGACUCACAUGGUAUCUUUGGCUGUUAUA